rnacentral:rRNA from 1 species
GACGACCGCUGGCGGCGUGCUUAACACAUGCAAGUCGAACGGAAAGGCCCUGCUUUUGUGGGGUGCUCGAGUGGCGAACGGGUGAGUAACACGUGAGUAACCUGCCCUUGACUUUGGGAUAACUUCAGGAAACUGGGGCUAAUACCGGAUAGGAGCUCCUGCUGCAUGGUGGGGGUUGGAAAGUUUCGGCGGUUGGGGAUGGACUCGCGGCUUAUCAGCUUGUUGGUGGGGUAGUGGCUUACCAAGGAUUUGACGGGUAGCCGGCCUGAGAGGGUGACCGGCCACAUUGGGACUGAAAUACGGCCCAGACUCCUACGGGAGGCAGCAGUGGGGAAUAUUGCACAAUGGGCGGAAGCCUGAUGCAGCAACGCCGCGUGCGGGAUGACGGCCUUCGGGUUGUAAACCGCUUUCGCCUGUGACGAAGCGUGAGUGACGGUAAUGGGUAAAGAAGCACCGGCUAACUACGUG